AGCACGGACGGAGCCCGAAAGUUUAUUUCUAUUUCUUCAAAAUAUGUUGGCCUGUGGAGUUAACUUGGAUUUAUUGUGAAAUUAUUUGUAUUUCCUUGAUUAUUUAGUAUAUUCUGACACAGUUGUGAAUUAGAGCACUUUCUUAGUGUAUCAUACUACGUCUGUGAUUCAAUAUUGAGGAUAAAACAGAUGCCGCAAUAAGUGACUAUUUGUUCCGGAGACAAGCUGAUUACAGGAAGAUCCACCCCGAACAGCGGCGAAAUAUUAUUUACGAACAUUAGCGGUGUUUCAAAAAUGCUGAAAUAUAUUUACUUGGCAAGUUUUGUGCAGGUAUGCUGUGGGCAGGCUGUCACAACCAUUGAUGCCUCUGUAC